AUGGCCUACUUGAUGGCCACCAGCAUAACCUCAUUCUUCGUGGAUGCAGGCCAAGAACUCAGGACCCUGCUGAAUGCCAUGAAGAAGGCAGCCCUCAUGCAGGACAAGGUCAGGGAGCUUCAGAACCAGGGCAGAGAUGUGGGCCUGGAGGUGCUGGAUAAUGCCUGCUAGCCCUGCGAGGCCCCAUUGCAGCCCAGGUGCUACAGGGUGGCGUGGCAGAUGACCUGAGGAAACUGUCCUUCAUGACCAGUGCUGUGAUGGAGGUGUUUGGUGUGUCUGGUUGCCGCGUGACCUGCUGUGGCUACACAAGAGAUGACAGUGUGGAGAUCUCGGUGCUGGCAGUGGGAGCAGUUCACCUGGCAACAGCUCUUCUGGAAAACCCAGAGGUGAAGUUGGCAGGGUUGGCCGCGAGGGAUAGCCUGCGCCUGGAGGCAGGCCUCUGCCUGUAUGGGAAUGACAUUGAUGAACACACUACACCUGUGGAGGGCAGCCUCAGUUGGACACUGGGGAAGUGCCGUCAAUCUGCUAUGGACUUCCCUGGAGCCAAGGUCACUGUUCCCCAGCUGAAGGGCAAGGUUUAGCGGAAGCGUGUGGGCUUGAUGUGUGAGGGGGCCCUGAGGCGGGCGCACAGUCCCAUCCUGAACAUGGAGGGUACCAUGACUGGUACUGUGACUAGUGGCUGCCCCUCACCCUCUCUGAAGAAGAAUGUGGUGAUGGGUUAUGUGCCCUGCAAGUACAGUCGUCCAGAAACAAAGCUGCUGGUAGAGGUGCAGCAGAAGCAGCAGAUGGCUGUGGUCAGCAAGAUGCUCUUUGUGCCCACGAACUACUAUACCUUCAAAUGAGGAUAGCUCAGGGUGGGGUUGUCCCCUCCAGGAGUCUUGCCUUGGAGGGCAUCCUACAAGGGGUUAGUCAAGAAGCUGAGGCAGAACUCACUAGGGGUGGGCAGCUAAGGUGGAGGCUAAUUUUAAUUGUCUGGUUGAGGGGCCAUACCACCUAUUCUCCCUACCUAACUCUUGCCACUCCAGCUUCCUUCAGGACCCUGCUUCUGAGUGAUGGACCAGCUCACACAAUGUCUUGUUUUAGUCUAUGAUCCCACUGACCCACUCUUGCCUGCUGGAGGGUAAUAAGAAGCUUUGGUUCUGCCAUCUCUCCCGCCCUGCCAGGUGCUGGCUGUGGAGAAAAGGCUCACCUUUGUGGGGAGGAUAAAACCUGCCCGACCUACCUCACCAUGAUUUUUCACAUUGCAAAGGCUAGUAACAUGGGCAGUGUGGACUUAGGCUACCCUCUCCAGUUUGCUUUCCAUAAAUGCAAAUUGUUCCUACUGCCAGUCAGAAAUGAUUGUUGACUCAUAGUAGGGCUGCUAUACCUGUGUAUAAACUUGGGGAUGGCUGAGGGAACACUGAUUUACUCUUCCAUAUUUCCAAGUUGGUCUAGUGUGCUGCCCAGUAGCAAACCAUGGCAGGCUUACCACCUGUUCUGAGCUCUGGGGCUGUUGUAGGGCAGGGUGAGCUUCCUCCUGGACUUGCCUUACCCUGGGCUGACCUUUGCUCCGGUAUCCAUUAAUGGACUCCACUAAAUCCUGAAAGAAAAAUUAAACUUCCUUCU